GACGAACGCUGGCGGCGUGCUUAACACAUGCAAGUCGAACGGAAAGGCCUGCUUUCCCUUGUGGAUUGCGGGUACUCGAGUGGCGAACGGGUGAGUAACACGUGAGUGAUCUGCCCCCAACUUGGGUAUAAGCCUGGGAAACUGGGUCUAAUUCCCGAUAGGACUGCAGGGUGGUGCCUGUGGUGGAAAACGAUUUUCUAGUGGUUGGGGAUGAGCUCGCGGCCUAUCAGCUUGUUGGUGGGGUAAUGGCCUACCAAGGCGGCGACGGGUAGCCGGCCUGAGAGGGUGGACGGCAACAUUGGGACUGGGAUACGGCCCAGACUCCUACGGGAGGCAGCAGUGGGGAAUAUUGCACAAUGGGCGGAAGCCUGAUGCAGCGACGCCGCGUGGGGGAUGACGGCCUUCGGGUUGUAAACUCCUUUCGACCGCGAGGAAGCCACCUGGUUGGAAGGGUGGUGACGGUAGUGGUAGAAGAAGCACCGGCUAACUACGUG
rnacentral:rRNA from 1 species